UUCAGAGUGAGUUGCCAUCUUUGUCUGCAUGCAGCAGCAUUGCUGACUCCACUCCAUGGGUUUCAAAUCACUACCUGGGAAGCUGCUGUGGUUGGAGCUGCAGCAGACUGAUGGAUAAAUCUUCUAUCCCAUCCUCUUUGCUUAAUCUGGGAUUCUGAAAUAUAUUCAUGCAUCAGAAAAGAAGCCAAAUUCUGAAACAGACCUGAGAGUGUUGGGAGAAGCUACAAACUUCUGAUGUGG